AUUGAACGCUGGCGGCAGGCUUAACACAUGCAAGUCGAGCGAGCGGCGGACGGGUGAGUAAUGUCUGGGAAACUGCCUGAGGGAGGGGGAUAACUACUGGAAACGGUAGCUAAUACCGCAUACCAUCAGAUGUGCCCAGAUGGGAUUAGCUGGUAGGUGGGGUAAUGGCUCACCUAGGCGACGCUCCCUAGCUGGUCGGAGAGGAUGACCAGCCACACGGGAACUGAGCCAGGGUCCAGACGCCUACGGGAGGCAGCAGUGGGGAAUAUUGCGCAAUGGGCGCAAGCAUGAUGCAGCCAUGCCGCGUGUGUGAAGAAGGCCCUCGGGUUGUAAAGCACUUUCAGCGAGGAGGCGUUACUCGCAGAAGAAGCACCGGCUAACUCCGUGCCAGCAGCCGCGGUAAUAC
rnacentral:rRNA from 1 species